CACUAUACGGUGAAACUGCGAAUGGCUCAUUAAAUCAGUUAUCGUUUAUUUGAUAGUACCUUACUACAUGGAUAACCGUGGUAAUUCUAGAGCUAAUACAUGCUAAAAACCCCGACUUCGGAAGGGGUGUAUUUAUUAGAUAAAAAACCAAUGCCCUUCGGGGCUCCUUGGUGAAUCAUAAUAACUUAACGAAUCGCAUGGCCUUGCGCCGGCGAUGGUUCAUUCAAAUUUCUGCCCUAUCAACUUUCGAUGGUAGGAUAGUGGCCUACCAUGGUAUCAACGGGUAACGGGGAAUUAGGGUUCGACUCCGGAGAGGGAGCCUGAGAAACGGCUACCACAUCCAAGGAAGGCAGCAGGCGCGCAAAUUACCCAAUCCCGACACGGGGAGGUAGUGACAAUAAAUACUGAUACAGGGCUCUUUUGGGUCUUGUAAUUGGAAUGAGUACAAUUUAAAUCCCUUAACGAGGAACAAUUGGAGGGCAAGUCUGGUGCCAGCAGCCGCGGUAAUUCCAGCUCCAAUAGCGUAUAUUAAAGUUGUUGCAGUUAAAAAGCUCGUAGUUGAACCUUGGGCCUGGCUGGCCGGUCCGCCUCACCGCGUGUACUGGUCCGGCCGGGCCUUUCCUUCUGGGGAACCUCAUGCCCUUCACUGGGCGUGCUGGGGAACCAGGACUUUUACUUUGAAAAAAUUAGAGUGUUCAAAGCAGGCCUUUGCUCGAAUACAUUAGCAUGGAAUAAUAGAAUAGGACGUGUGGUUCUAUUUUGUUGGUUUCUAGGACCGCCGUAAUGAUUAAUAGGGAUAGUCGGGGGCAUCAGUAUUCAAGCGUCAGAGGUGAAAUUCUUGGAUUGCUUGAAGACUAACUACUGCGAAAGCAUUUGCCAAGGAUGUUUUCAUUAAUCAGUGAACGAAAGUUAGGGGAUCGAAGACGAUCAGAUACCGUCGUAGUCUUAACCAUAAACUAUGCCGACUAGGGAUCGGACGGUGUUAGUAUUUUGACCCGUUCGGCACCUUACCGAGAAAUCAAAGUUUUU
rnacentral:rRNA from 1 species